UUCUUAAGGCUAAAGCAUUGGAGAGGUGGGCGCCAUCUCCUUGUCGGCAACACGAAGCAGUUCAUUGUAGCUCAACUACUGAUCCCCAUUGACCCUCAUUUUCCUACCCUCUUGUGUUUCUUAACCUUCUUCAGUUUCUUGAUCACCCUGUUUCACUUCCAAUGGCGGCAGAGUCUCAAUCAGGCGCCCAGCCGCGGCUCAACUCCAGGCGCCACUACAACGUGGUGCACCCUGUUGACAUCGAGACACCUCCUCUGACGUCACCUGCUCCGGCCACUCCCACCGUGUUCCUGGAAGUCAAGCAUUUCAAGAAAUGGGUGGUGUGGUUGAUACCUACCUUUGUUAUCAUCAAUGUGAUCAUGUUUGUUAUCACUAUGUAUGUCAACAACUGCCCCAAGAACUCGGUUUCUUGCAUUGCCACGUUUUUGGGGAGGUUCUCGUUUCAGCCUUUUAAGGAGAACCCUCUUCUUGGGCCUUCAUCUUCUGCGUUGCAGAAAAUGGGUGCUUUGGAUGUGAAGAAGGUUGUUGAUGAUCACCAGGGGUGGCUUCUCAUUACUUGCAAUUGGCUACAUGGUGGUGUUUUCCAUUUACUUGCUAACAUGUUGAGUCUUUUGGUUAUUGGGUAUCGGCUAGAGCAAGAAUUCGGCUUUGUGCGUAUUGGGUUGCUAUAUGUCAUCUCAGGACUAGGUGGGAGUUUGAUGUCUUCACUUUUUAUCCAGUCAAAUAUCUCUGUUGGUGCUUCGGGUGCACUUUUUGGAUUGCUGGGAGCCAUGCUGUCUGAGCUUAUCACUAACUGGACAAUAUAUGCUAGUAAGGUAAGAAUUUAACUGCCCAGAAAAAGCUUCACAUAUACAAGAACUUUUGUGAUCACUAAUUCCUUAUCAUUAUUAUUCAGUUUGGAGCACUUUUCACCCUCCUGAUCAUCAUUACGAUCAAUUUAGCAGUGGGAAUCCUCCCACAUGUGGACAACUUUGCUCACAUUGGAGGAUUCCUUUCGGGAUUCUUUCUUGGGUUUGUGUUUCUUAUCCGUCCUCAGUUCGGAUGGGUUAACCAAAGAUAUGCUCCUCCGGAGUUCAGAGCAUCUGAAGUUAAAUCAAAGUUCAAGACCUAUCAGUGCAUAUUUUGGAUCCUUUCUCUGGUUAUUUUGAUUGUUGGAUUUACUGUUGGCCUGGUUAUGCUUAUCCGGGGAGUUGAUGCAAAUAAACAUUGUUCUUGGUGUCAUUAUUUGUCUUGUGUCCCAACAUCAAAAUGGAGCUGCCGGUCAGAGCCUGCAUACUGCUCGUCAACCCAGACAGGUGACCAGCUCUUUUUAACAUGCUCGAGCAAUGGAAAGAAUGGCACAUAUACGUAUGCAAAUGCAAGCAGCUCUCAGAUCCAGGGAUUGUGUUCUCAGCUUUGCAGUUGAUGUAUGAAGAACACAUGGACAUAUAUCAAGUUGGCAUCACUGCGUAGAUGUAUAAAUUAAUUUCCACAAGCAGGUUUUUGUAAUACCAGUUACCAUAUGCUUCUUAUUACUGUGUAAUCUUCAUUCUUGAUUUUUACGCUAAUUCGUUGUUCAUUCUCUUUCUUCUAUUUCUUUUUUCUUCUUUGGACAAUAAGUUGCAGUCUCUCUUAUUACUAUUAUUAUUUUUCUUUAUUUGUUAGACGG